UAAUUAAAUGGCCGCGGUAUUUUGACCGUGCAAAGGUAGCAUAAUCAUUAGUUUAUUAAUUGUGAACUUGUAUGAAUGGUUAAAUGAAAUAUUUACUGUCUCUAUUCUUUUAUUAGAAUUUGAAUUUUAAGUUAAAAUGCUUAGAUUUUUUUAUAGGACGAGAAGACCCUAUAGAUCUUUACUAAUUUAAUUUUUAGAUGGUUUGGUUAAAAUAUAUUUUUAUUUUAAGUUUAUUUUGUUGGGGUGACAGGGGGAGAAUAAAUAUCUCUCUUUUUUUUAUUACAAUUAUUUUUGUAUAUUUGACUUUUUUUUAUUGUUACAAGAUUUAGAUACCUUAGGGAUAACAGCGUAAUUUUUUUUGAGAGUUCCUAUUGACAGAGGAGAUUGCGACCUCGAUGUUGGAUUAAGAUUAUAAUUAGGUGUAGUGGCUUAAUUGUUAGGUCUGUUCGACCUUUAAAUUCUUACAUGAUCUGAGUC
rnacentral:rRNA from 1 species